CUGGCUCAGGAUGAACGCUGGCGGCGUGCUUAACACAUGCAAGUCGAACGGAACGCCAAGGAAAGAGUUUUCGGACAAUGGAAUUGGCUGUUUAGUGGCGGACGGGUGAGUAACGCGUGAGUAACCUGCCUUGGAGUGGGGAAUAACACAGUGAAAACUGUGCUAAUACCGCAUGACAUAUUGGUGUCGCAUGGCACUGAUAUCAAAGAUUUAUCGCUCUGAGAUGGACUCGCGUCUGAUUAGAUAGUUGGCGGGGUAACGGCCCACCAAGUCGACGAUCAGUAGCCGGACUGAGAGGUUGGCCGGCCACAUUGGGACUGAGACACGGCCCAGACUCCUACGGGAGGCAGCAGUGGGGAAUAUUGGGCAAUGGGGGGAACCCUGACCCAGCAACGCCGCGUGAAGGAAGAAGGCCUUCGGGUUGUAAACUUCUAUCCUUGGUGAAGAGGAGAAGACGGUAGCCAAGAAGGAAGCCCCGGCUAACUACGUGCCAGCAGCCGCGGUAAUACGUAGGGGGCAAGCGUUGUCCGGAAUGAUUGGGCGUAAAGGGCGUGUAGGCGGCGAUUUAAGUCUGGAGUGAAAGUCCUGCUUUUAAGGUGGGAAUUGCUUUGGAUACUGGAUGGCUAGAGUGCAGGAGAGGUUAGUGGAAUUCCCAGUGUAGCGGUGAAAUGCGUAGAGAUUGGGAGGAACACCAGUGGCGAAGGCGACUAACUGGACUGUAACUGACGCUGAGGCGCGAAAGUGUGGGGAGCAAACAGGAUUAGAUACCCUGGUAGUCCACACUGUAAACGAUGAAUGCUAGGUGUAGGGGGUAUCGACCCCUUCUGUGCCGGAGUAAACACAAUAAGCAUUCCGCCUGGGGAGUACGGCCGCAAGGUUGAAACUCAAAGGAAUUGACGGGGGCCCGCACAAGCAGCGGAGCAUGUGGUUUAAUUCGAAGCAACGCGAAGAACCUUACCAGGUCUUGACAUCCAGUAAAAACCUGAGAGAUCAGGUGUCCCUUCGGGGGUACUGAGACAGGUGGUGCAUGGUUGUCGUCAGCUCGUGUCGUGAGAUGUUGGGUUAAGUCCCGCAACGAGCGCAACCCUUAUGAUUAGUUACUAACGCGUAAAGGCGAGGACUCUAAUGAGACUGCCGGGGACAACUCGGAGGAAGGUGGGGACGACGUCAAAUCAUCAUGCCCCUUAUGACCUGGGCUACACACGUGCUACAAUGGCCACUACAAAGAGGGGCGAACCCGCAAGGGGGAGCGGAUCUCAAAAAAGUGGUCCCAGUUCGGAUUGUGGGCUGCAACCCGCCCACAUGAAGUCGGAGUUGCUAGUAAUCGCGGAUCAGCAUGCCGCGGUGAAUACGUUCCCGGGCCUUGCACACACCGCCCGUCA
rnacentral:rRNA from 1 species